AACGAACGCUGGCGGCAGGCUUAACACAUGCAAGUCGAGCGCCCCGCAAGGGGAGCGGCAGACGGGUGAGUAACGCGUGGGAAUCUACCCAUCCCUACGGAACAACUCCGGGAAACUGGAGCUAAUACCGUGUACGCCCUACGGGGGAAAGAUUUAUCGGGGAUGGAUGAGCCCGCGUUGGAUUAGCUAGUUGGUGGGGUAAUGGCCUACCAAGGCGACGAUCCAUAGCUGGUCUGAGAGGAUGAUCAGCCACACUGGGACUGAGACACGGCCCAGACUCCUACGGGAGGAAGCAGUGGGGAAUAUUGGACAAUGGGCGCAAGCCUGAUCCAGCCAUGCCGCGUGAGUGAUGAAGGCCCUAGGGUUGUAAAGCUCUUUCACCGGUGAAGAUAAUGACGGUAACCGGAGAAGAAGCCCCGGCUAACUUCGUGCCAGCCGCCGCCGUAAGUC
rnacentral:rRNA from 1 species